AAUGAACGCUAGCGGCAGGCUUAAUACAUGCAAGUCGAGGGACAGCACAGGUAGCAAUACUGGGUGGUAACCGGCAAACGGGUGCGGAACACGUACACAACCUUCCUUUAAGUGGGGGAUAGCCCAGAGAAAUUUGGAUUAAUACCCCGUAAUAUAGUUGAAUGGCAUCAUUUGAUUAUUAUAGCUACGGCGCUUAAUGAUGGGUGUGCGGCUGAUUAGAUAGUUGGCGGGGUAACGGCCCACCAAGUCUACGAUCAGUAGCUGAUGUGAGAGCAUGAUCAGCCACACGGGAACUGAGACCCGGGCCCGACUCCUACGGGAGGCAGCAGUAAGGAAUAUUGGUCAAUGGACGCAAGUCUGAACCAGCCAUGCCGCGUGAAGGAUUAAGGUCCUCUGGAUUGUAAACUUCUUUUAUUUGGGACGAAAAAGGGCCUUUCUAGGUCAACUGACGGUACCAGAUGAAUGAGCACCGGCUAACUCCGUGCCAGCCGCCGCCGUAACAC
rnacentral:rRNA from 1 species